GGAUAUGAGGGUGAUUUGGCUUUGAUAUCUGUCACCCCAUUGCUCACCAGGGUUGAUUCACUGUUGUGUCUGGCCAGGCAGGUGUCCCCUUCCUCCUUCACAGCUCCAUGUGCCACCCUCCCUAAGCUGUGUGUUGGGGAGUAGGGGGGACGACCACCUCUACUCUCGAUGGAGGAGGACUGUUUCCUGGGUCAAGGGUAUACCGGUAGCUUUGCUCCCCUGCUAGAACCACCAAACUAGCUCUCAAGACAAAUGACUAAGACUCAUAGUUGCGGAGGAAUGUUUGAUAGACUUGUUUGU
rfam:Heterocephalus glaber contig203569, whole genome shotgun sequence.